GGAGCUGUGGCUCAGUUGGCAGAGCCUCUCCUUGGUCUUGGGUUCAAUCCCCGGCGCCUCCA
rnacentral:tRNA from 1 species